rnacentral:rRNA from 1 species
AUUGAACGCUGGCGGCAUGCUUUACACAUGCACGUCGGACGAGUGGCCUACGGGUGAGCAAUAUAUCGGAACCUACCUAGUUAUGGGGGCUAACUAAUCGAAAUAUUCGCUAAUAACGCCUUUUAUUCGCGCGGCCGAUAUCCGAUUAGCUAGUUGGUGGGGUAAAGGCCGACCAAGGCGACGAUCAGUAGCGGGUCUGAGAGGAUGCUCCGCCACACUGGGACUGAGAAACGGCCCAGACACCUACGGGAGGCAGCAGUUGGGAAUUUUGGACAGUGGGCGCAAACCUGAUCCAGCCAUGCCGCGUGACUGAAGGAGGCCUUCGGGUUGUAAAGGACGUUUGUCAGUGAAGCGGUACCUGAAGGAUAAGCACCGGGUAACUACGGGCCAGCCGCCGCGGUAAUAC